rnacentral:rRNA from 1 species
GAUGAACGCUGGCGGCGUGCUUAACACAUGCAAGUCGAACGGAAAGGCUCCUGCUUGCAGGGGUACUCGAGUGGCGAACGGGUGAGUAACACGUGGGUGAUCUGCCCUGCACUUCGGGAUAAGCCUGGGAAACUGGGUCUAAUACCGGAUAGGACCACAUUUUGGAUGGUGUGGUGGAAAGUUUUUCGGUGUGGGAUGAGCUCGCGGCCUAUCAGCUUGUUGGUGGGGUAAUGGCCUACCAAGGCGUCGACGGGUAGCCGGCCUGAGAGGGUGUACGGCCACAUUGGGACUGAGAUACGGCCCAGACUCCUACGGGAGGCAGCAGUGGGAAUAUUGCACAAUGGGCGCAAGCCUGAUGCAGCGACGCCGCGUGGGGGAUGACGGCCUUCGGGUUGUAAACUCCUUUCGCUAGGGACGAAGCGCAAGUGACGGUACCUGGAGAAGAAGCACCGGCUAACUACGUG